rnacentral:rRNA from 1 species
GCAAGUCGAGCGGAUCGAACGGGAGCUUGCUUCCGUUCGGUUAGCGGCGGACGGGUGAGUAACACGUGGGCAACCUGCCCGUAAGACCGGGAUAACUUCGGGAAACCGGAGCUAAUACCGGAUAACACCGAAGACCGCAUGGUCUUUGGUUGAAAGACGGCUUUGGCUGUCACUUACGGAUGGGCCCGCGGCGCAUUAGCUAGUUGGUGGGGUAACGGCUCACCAAGGCGACGAUGCGUAGCCGACCUGAGAGGGUGAUCGGCCACACUGGGACUGAGACACGGCCCAGACUCCUACGGGAGGCAGCAGUAGGGAAUCUUCCGCAAUGGACGAAAGUCUGACGGAGCAACGCCGCGUGAGCGAAGAAGGUCUUCGGAUUGUAAAGCUCUGUUGUUAGGGAAGAACAAGUACCGUUCGAAUAGGGCGGUACCGUGACGGUACCUAACGAGAAAGCCACGGCUAACUACGUGCCAGCAGCCGCGGUAAUACGUAGGUGGCAAGCGUUGUCCGGAAUUAUUGGGCGUAAAGCGCGCGCAGGCGGUCCUUUAAGUCUGAUGUGAAAGCCCACGGCUCAACCGUGGA